CCUACGGGUGGCAGCAGUGAGGAAUAUUGGUCAAUGGCCGAGAGGCUGAACCAGCCAAGUCGCGUGAGUGAAGACGGCCCUACGGGUUGUAAUCCUCUUUUGUCGGGGAGCAAAGAGAGUCACGUGUGACUCAUUGCGCGUACCCGAAGAAAAAGCAUCGGCUAACUCCGUGCCAGCAGCCGCGGUAAUACGGAGGAUGCGAGCGUUAUCCGGAUUUAUUGGGUUUAAAGGGUGCGCAGGCGGAGGUGCAAGUCAGCGGUCAAAUUGCGGGGCUCAGCCCCGUCCUGCCGUUGAAACUGCAGCCCUUGAGUGCGCGAGAAGUAUGCGGAAUGCGUGGUGUAGCGGUGAAAUGCAUAGAUAUCACGCAGAACGCCGAUUGCGAAGGCAGCAUACCGGCGCGCAACUGACGCUCAUGCACGAAAGCGUGGGUAUCGAACAGGAUUAGAUACCCGAGUAGUC
rnacentral:rRNA from 1 species